GAGGAAAGAGACUUAUAGGUCUCGCGAGUUAUUUUAAUUCGUAUGCAAGAAAAAGAAGAGCUAUGCAUUUUAUUUAAAAUGCGUAGUUCUUUUUUU
rfam:Staphylococcus aureus subsp. aureus NCTC 8325, complete genome.